AUGACUUCCACUAACAUAGAUGGAGGAUGUAUAGCCCGUUUCAAUGAGACACCCAGGGCCCUGAGUAUUGUGGUUGGAGUUCUGGCUUAAAUUCAGACACUGGAAAACACAAGUAAUAAGAAGACCAUUUUGAGAAGAGCAGAUAGUCGCCUUAAGAAAAUCCCUGUCAUAUGCACUCUGGGAUUUGGACUCAAAUCCUAAUUAUACAGUGGGUAUGAGUGAUACAGAAGAACGUAUAUGAGGCAGAGGUUGAUUCUUCCAGACUCUAGGAGGAAAAGCAUCGAAGAUAUUCCACAGAGAAACCUGAAAGCAUCGUAAAGUUUUCACAGUUUUUCUCAUGAGUUGUGACAGGAUGACAACAAAACUACUGCCUUAAUUACACGAAGAUUGGAAGGUGUGUAACAGCCCCUCAAGAUGACUGAAGAAAUUUCACAUGAAAUACAAACCUCAAGACUAGCAUUUAAAUAUGCCAAGAUAAAAAUUUUAAAGUCCCAUAAUGGCCACAAUCUUGAUGUUCUAUCCGUUCGUUGAUGUAGGCUGCUGUUUACAUUUGGAACCAAAAGCCAACUAGCCCUUUUUAGCAUGACGUGAAUAUAUUUUCUAAAAAUUAGUUACAACCUUCACUGGAAAUCUUCUGGUUCCCACAAAGUCAUUUAAGGUAAAAACUGCAAAAGAUAUGAAGUGAUGGACUUCUAAUAAUGAAUUAUUUCACCUAGUGACAUUAUUUAUGUAUAUUGGGUAGUCCAGAUCUCACAGUUGAGCAAAUUUCCCCAAAGCCAAGUCACAGCUUGCCAUUACCCUCUGUAUUUGAAGAUGACAUUCCUGGUCAUGAGUGUGCUCCAAGUGGAAGCGUAGAAGGAGAAACCGAUAUGCAAUAACACUUUCCACAUGUAGAGAUGACUCCUUAAUUUUCAAGGUUUUCUAAGACUUGACUGCCCAGAUGUUGUAUUAAAAAGACCAACAGUCUCUGACUGCUGCAUGCCGUAGGCCUCUGCGCCAGCCAGGUGUUUGGACUGCAGCAGCUAAUAAACGUGAGAGCAUUUCUAUUUUCUAUUUUCUUUGCCUGCCUCCUCCUCGGUUCACUGUACAGCAGUGGCUUCGGGAUCUGACUGUCAUUCAUUCUCCACACAUCUAUAGCCUCAGAGGGUUGUGCUGUGAUGAGCCGUAGCACUUCUAUACUGGCAGACUGGCUGAGUUCCAGCCCUUGUUUUAAAGGAUCCUGUCUUGCCAGUUAAUGUAAAGUAUUGCUCUGGUCUGGGCCAGUGAGUUCAGGAGCAAGGUUCUCGUGAAGGUCUGCUAGGGCCCUGGAAUGCUACUUAGGGACCACCUCCAGUCUCUGAUCACUAAAUCAGUGAUGUUCGUGGAGGUUAAAUGCAUGUCAAAAGGAAAAGGAUCAUUAAUGUGUUCUAUGUAUUCAAAAGGCAAUGGAUUUUAUCCUUAACCCUCCCCUAUUACUAAUAAGGUGAGAUAUGGUUUACUGAGUGAUCCAAGACUAACCAAGAUGACAACUGUAUUGGAGGUCAAUUCAGAGGAAGACAAGCAAAUUUGCAGCAUAUAUUCUGUAAGAUAUAGAACUGACACCAAAGUCAAAGCUGAGGAGUUGGUGCUCAUAGUUAUAGCUCAAAAAUGUAAACAAAAACUCAACAACUUUAGAAAACUCUCCUAAAGAUUUAACUGACUACAUAGGAAAGAGCCUAAACACGUAGAUGGCACAACAGAUUAUCUCCUCCAGCAGCUGUCAUCAGAGAGGUAAAGAACUUCUACUCCAUUUUGCAGCAACUAAGUCCAGAUGCUAUUAUUACUUAAGAAUAGGAAGCCGGAGAACCUAUAUAUACAGCUGUGUACCACCUGACCACCACAGCCCCGUGUACUAUAUCCUAAUGCCAGUAGAUGUGGAGAAUGAAGAGAAAUGUAAAAAUUUAAUAAAGUUUAGAACUAACACUGUCUCUUUAUGUCCAAACUAGUUUGAUUAUUCAUUAUUUGGAUGUUUUUUUUUUCUUUGUAAUAAUGUCGUAACCUCAUAAGUUACUUUUAAAAAAGAGAAAGAAUGAAUGAAGAAAAUAUGUGAAAGAAAAUGCCUGUAAACCUGAUGUUGAUGUCUCUGAGCUAUUGUAAACUGCUGAGCAAAUGCUUAGAUUGAUAAUAUGAAUGCUUUCAUUUCUGGAGUGGAAGAAAAGUGAAAUUAGUAAUGUGAUGUAAUUAAAAUAUUAUGUCUUCUGUAACAUGUUCUAGAUAUACUAUUUGUUAUGUCAUAUA